GCUGGGCGAGGUGGCGCACACCUGUAAUCCCAGUGGCUCAAGAGGCUGAGACCGGAGGAUCACAAGAUCAAAACCAGCUUCAGCAAAAAGUAAGGUGCUAAGCAACUCAGUGAGACCCUGUCUCUA
rnacentral:sRNA from 1 species